rnacentral:rRNA from 1 species
AUUGAACGCUGGCGGCAUGCUUUACACAUGCAAGUCGAACGGCAGCGCGGGCUUCGGCCUGGCGGCGAGUGGCGAACGGGUGAGUAAUACAUCGGAACGUGCCCAGUAGUGGGGGAUAGCUCGGCGAAAGCCGGAUUAAUACCGCAUACGACCUGAGGGUGAAAGCGGGGGAUCUUCGGACCUCGCGCUAUUGGAGCGGCCGAUGGCAGAUUAGCUAGUUGGUGGGGUAAAGGCCUACCAAGGCGACGAUCUGUAGCUGGUCUGAGAGGACGACCAGCCACACUGGGACUGAGACACGGCCCAGACUCCUACGGGAGGCAGCAGUGGGGAAUUUUGGACGAUGGGCGAAAGCCUGAUCCAGCAAUGCCGCGUGUGUGAUGAAGGCCUUCGGGUUGUAAAGCACUUUUGGCGGGAACGAAAAGGACUGUGCCAAUACCACGGUUCGAUGACGGUACCCGCAGAAUAAGCACCGGCUAACUACGUG